rnacentral:rRNA from 1 species
UACGAGGGGGGCAAGCGUUGUUCGGAAUUAUUGGGCGUAAAGAGCUCGUAGGUGGCCUGUCGCGUCGGCUGUGAAAACUCGGGGCUCAACUCCGAGCUUGCAGUCGAUACGGGCAGGCUAGAGUUCGGCAGGGGAGACUGGAAUUCCUGGUGUAGCGGUGAAAUGCGCAGAUAUCAGGAGGAACACCGGUGGCGAAGGCGGGUCUCUGGGCCGAUACUGACACUGAGGAGCGAAAGCGUGGGGAGCGAACAGG